rnacentral:rRNA from 1 species
GGGGGGUGCAAGCGUUGUUCGGAAUUAUUGGGCGUAAAGCGCGUGUAGGCGGUCUGAUUAGUCUGAUGUGAAAGCCCUGGGCUCAACCCAGGAAGUGCAUUGGAUACUGUCAGACUUGAAUACGGGAGAGGGUAGUGGAAUUCCUAGUGUAGGAGUGAAAUCCGUAGAUAUUAGGAGGAACACCGGUGGCGAAGGCGGCUACCUGGACCGAUAUUGACGCUGAGACGCGAAAGCGUGGGUAGCAAACAGGAUUAGAUACCCUGGUAGUCCACGCCGUAAACGAUGAGUACUAGGUGUUGCGGGUAUUGAUCCCUGCAGUGCCGCAGCUAACGCAUUAAGUACUCCGCCUGGGAAGUACGGUCGCAAGACUA